CUUUUGUCUGUUAUUGCGAAGUAUUUCAAACACCAUUUUGAGAAAGAAGAUGUAAAGAAAGAAGAGUUAAAGAAGGAAUGAAAUUGAAUAAAAGAACGCAGUUGGCUGAUUUGGGUGAGAACCCACAUGUGGUCUAGUCUGGUCUGACGUGUUCCAGUCUCUGUUUCUAAAAUGAGUCUCUCAGAGGAGCCAGUGAGCAAAGGUGGAACCCUCAGCACUGACAGAAAGAGGGUCCAGGUAGAAAGAGCAGGGUCACCUGUACCCAGCUGUCUGUCUGUGAAGAGUGAUCCCUCAGUAGAACCACCACUCAAGCUUAGACGAGAGGUCACAGGGGAUCAAAGGGUCCAGGUAGAAAGAGCAGGGUCACCUGCACCCAGCUGUCUGUCUAUGAAGAGUGAUCGUUCAAUGGCUGAACCAAUCAACUUCAGAGGAGAGUUCACCAGUGAUCAAAUGUAAUGAAAUGGGUUUAAACUGACACAACUCUUUUUCUAAAUUUAUUUUUCCAGAUUUUUUCCC